rnacentral:rRNA from 1 species
GGGACACGUGGUAUCCUGUCUGAAUAUGGGGGGACCAUCCUCCAAGGCUAAAUACUCCUGACUGACCGAUAGUGAACCAGUACCGUGAGGGAAAGGCGAAAAGAACCCCGGCGAGGGGAGUGAAAAAGAACCUGAAACCGUGUACGUACAAGCAGUGGGAGCACCUUCGGGUGUGACUGCGUACCUUUUGUAUAAUGGGUCAGCGACUUAUAUUCUGUAGCAAGGUUAACCGUAUAGGGGAGCCGCAGGGAAACCGAGUCUUAACUGGGCGUUAAGUUGCAGGGUAUAGACCCGAAACCCGGUGAUCUAGCCAUGGGCAGGUUGAAGGUUGGGUAACACUAACUGGAGGACCGAACCGACUAAUGUUGAAAAAUUAGCGGAUGACUUGUGGCUGGGGGUGAAAGGCCAAUCAAACCGGGAGAUAGCUGGUUCUCCCCGAAAGCUAUUUAGGUAGCGCCUCGUGAAUUCAUCUUCGGGGGUAGAGCACUGUUUCGGCUAGGGGGUCAUCCCGACUUACCAACCCGAUGCAAACUACGAAUACCGAAGAAUGUUAUCACGGGAGACACACGGCGGGUGCUAACGUCCGUCGUGAAGAGGGAAACAACCCAGACCGCCAGCUAAGGUCCCAAAGUCAUGGUUAAGUGGGAAACGAUGUGGGAAGGCACAGACAGCCAGGAUGUUGGCUUAGAAGCAGCCAUCAUUUAAAGAAAGCGUAAUAGCUCACUGGUCGAGUCGGCCUGCGCGGAAGAUGUAACGGGGCUAAACCAUGCACCGAAGCUGCGGCAGCGACACUAUGUGUUGUUGGGUAGGGGAGCGUUCUGUAAGCCUGCGAAGGUGGCCUGUGAGGGUUGCUGGAGGUAUCAGAAGUGCGAAUGCUGACAUAAGUAACGAUAAAGCGGGUGAAAAGCCCGCUCGCCGGAAGACCAAGGGUUCCUGUCCAACGUUAAUCGGGGCAGGGUGAGUCGACCCCUAAGGCGAGGCCGAAAGGCGUAGUCGAUGGGAAACAGGUUAAUAUUCCUGUACUUGGUGUUACUGCGAAGGGGGGACGGAGAAGGCUAUGUUAGCCGGGCGACGGUUGUCCCGGUUUAAGCAUGUAGGCUGGUUAUCCAGGCAAAUCCGGAUAAUCAAGGCUGAGGUGUGAUGACGAGGCACUACGGUGCUGAAGUAACAAAUGCCCUGCUUCCAGGAAAAGCCUCUAAGCAUCAGGUAACAUUAAAUCGUACCCCAAACCGACACAGGUGGUCAGGUAGAGAAUACCAAGGCGCUUGAGAGAACUCGGGUGAAGGAACUAGGCAAAAUGGUGCCGUAACUUCGGGAGA